GGCACUUUGGCGGAGUGGUUAACGCGCUGCCCUGCUAUACUCUCGACUAUAGAGUCCGCUAGGCAGUUCCUUCGGGAGCGAGUGUUCGAAUCACUCAGGUGUCG
rnacentral:tRNA from 1 species